rfam:Schistosoma mansoni strain Puerto Rico chromosome 2, complete genome
ACCAGCUGACGAGUCCAAAGUUGGAUGAAACGCGUGUCUUGGAU